rnacentral:rRNA from 1 species
GUGGGGGAUAUUGCACAAUGGAGGAAACUCUGAUGCAGCGACGCCGCGUGAGUGAAGAAGUAUUUCGGUAUGUAAAGCUCUAUCAGCAGGGAAGAAAAUGACGGUACCUGACUAAGAAGCCCCGGCUAACUACGUGCCAGCAGCCGCGGUAAUACGUAGGGGGCAAGCGUUAUCCGGAUUUACUGGGUGUAAAGGGAGCGUAGACGGCGACGCAAGUCUGAAGUGAAAUACCCGGGCUCAACCUGGGAACUGCUUUGGAAACUGUGUUGCUAGAGUGCUGGAGAGGUAAGCGGAAUUCCUAGUGUAGCGGUGAAAUGCGUAGAUAUUAGGAAGAACACCAGUGGCGAAGGCGGCUUACUGGACAGUAACUGACGUUGAGGCUCGAAAGCGUGGGGAGCAAACAGGA